GCAAAAUUCAUAAUCAGAUACAUUGUGAUAAUAUUGAAUUUUUCUGUGACUAGGCGCACUUUGCAGGUUCAGUAAAUAAUGGGAAACUAUUAAAUGCUGAUAUUUCGAUUUCAAAAUGCUUUUUAAUGUAAUUUAUUAUUUUAUGGAAAGACACGAAUAGCUACCUGCAGCUAAUAGUCUAGUCUUAUUUAUUGUACUGUAUCUACAAAUAAUCAGUAAUUGUAGCAGAAGCAGUCUUUGUAAUCUCUUUUGCAUCAACAGUUUAAUAAAUUCCUAUCCAUCUUUCUGUGAUGAGUAGUUUCAGGUUUAUAGCAAAUCUUGGAAAACACAUUAAGAGAUUGAAGCGUUUGGCACUCUGGAUUUUUCAGGUCUUAAUUUAAAGUAGAAAAGAAAACUUUCUGCCAUGUUCCGUUUAUCCUUUGAUUCAUACAUUUUAACCCAUUGUAUACACAUUUACAGAGGCUACAUUCGUCGUUCUACAAAUAAAGAGAAAGUUAUGCCGUUGGAAACACGUGGGAAGGAACUUGACUACUGUUGGCCUUGAACUUGACAGAGGCGGUAAACAAGUCAACGACCUCCUCUAAGGCGAGAAUGAAACUGCCAUGUAUACAUUUAACUGUACGAGGUUAUUUCUUCUUUCUAUUUCUAUUAAAAAGCAUUUAUAUUAUUUGCCGAAAUAUUAAAUAUGAUCGGCAGAAAGAUUCUUCUGUUUAUCGUAUUGCUUCUAAAAACAAUGACCGAUGACGGUCUCGAAAUUCUCUUUUUCACGAGCAUAAUAUUAAAAGAGCUUUCAUACAUGAUCUGUUCUUUCAGUACGAAGAGCUGUUUAACACUUUUCUCAAUUAAACAAUUCAGUUAUACCUGUCGCAUGUUCGUUAAUGCUUUCCAUCUGACUGCUUCAAGAAUUUUCCGUCUGUUUCGUAUCUUCAGGUGGUUUUCAAACUCGCCUCACUCAUGGUGUUUGUCGCUAUGGUCAAAAGUUUGUCACCGAUUUUUAGAUGACUUCUUGGUAAGCUAUCGAGUUCAAAUUUUGUACAUGUAUACUGCUUGAGAAUAUAAUAAAAAGUAUUAAUUGGA